CUUUCUGGACAUGAUUCAAAACUCAUUCAGCUACUUCUACGAGCUAAUCAAGAAACAGAUGCACGACAUGGAGGUUCGAUUCAACAUUCACCCUGGCCUUCAACUCAAGAAAGCAGAGUUCAUUUGGCUCGGGCUAUCUGCAUAUAUUCGUGUUCUAAAAAAAAAGCAAUCACGAUACAAGGACCUUCUUUUACUAUUGAGAUUUAAGCUGGCUAAGCAUGGUAGGAUUGUUGAUCCCUUGCCUCACUUGAAAUAUGCCGUUGAUGAUUUCCACUCAUCAAUUUUCUGGAAGAUCAAAUAUUAGAAAUUUCAUUGGUGGCAACCGUUCUGUAGAUACAGUUACAAAUUAAAAUCUCUAACGGAGUUCUUGAUUCCUGAUUUUAAGCUAUGUCUGCAGAGAACAAGGGAAGGCACACAAGCUCAGGCAGAGGCACAUGAAACCGGUGUCAAGUCAUGAACAGAUGCAUAGUUGGGGUUUGAUUGGAGUUUUGGAACUAUUGCAGCAGUUGUCAUCUGGGCUGUGAAUGACAGUCCAUUAAUACCUUGGCUGGGUCGAAUUCAUUGAAUCACAGACUCAUCAUCCCACACACAGCAUGUGUUCUCAUUUAAUGUAUAUAUAUAUAUAUAACUUGGAACCCAGAAUUGUCAUUAAGUGCAGAACGUCCCCACGUCAGUCCUUCAGUACAACUCCCUGCAGGAUUCCCAAUUCCACUAUAUAUUUUUUAAUAUAUAUAUGUGUGUGUGUGUGUGUGUGUAUGGAUACAAAAAUCAAAUAUGUUAUACUUGAUACAAACUUUGGAAGUGUAUUUUUUUGAUUGUGUGUGUGUGCAUGAUAUGCAGGGGCUGUUUUCUCUUGUUGAAUAUUCCUCUCAGGAGAUCAGAAGGGUGGACAGUAAACAGAGUAGUCAGGAAGGAAGGGGUCCAGUGAAGCAGUAGUAAGUAUUGUUACUGUUGUAUUCUCAUGAACAAAAGAAAGGACGUCAGGAUGGUAUCAAAGAGUACGGUGCCAGAUGACUUUCAGGGUGACUCUCUUCAAAGGUCUUAUAGUUUUUUUUCUCUCACUUUGGCUCAACUCCACCCAACGUGCAAUACUCUUUUAGAGUGCUAGUUUUUUUAUAUAUUAUAUAUUAUAUAUUAUAUUGAGAUUAUUAUCUUCAUCUCCAAGGGCCAAUGUAAUUAAACAUUUUGUUGUGCCACGGAAUAUCUGAGUGGGUUAUUUCAUUUUGGAUUUAUCUCAUUAUUUUAUGUACAUCAUAUG